rnacentral:rRNA from 1 species
CCUACGGGUGGCUGCAGUAGGGGAUAUUGCACAAUGGGGGAAACCCUGAAGCAGCAACGCCGCGUGGAGGAUGAAGGUUUUCGGAUUGUAAACUCCUUUUGUUAGAGAAGAUAAUGACGGUAUCUAACGAAUAAGCACCGGCGAACUCCGUGCCAGCAGCCGCGGUAAUACGAAGGGUGCGAGCGUUACUCGGAAUAACUGGGUGUAAAGAGCGCGUCGGCGGGUAAGCAAGUCUGAUGUGAAAUCCUAGGGCUUAACCAUAGAACUGCAUUUGAAACUGUUAUUCUAGAGUAUGGGAGAGGUAGGUGGAAUUCUUGGUGUAGGGGUGAAAUCCGUAGAGAUCAAGAGGAAUACUCAUGGCGAAGGCGACCUGCUAGACCAUAACUGACGCUGAGGCGCGAAAGCGUGGGGAGCAAACAGGAUUAGAUACCCUUGUAGUC